ACUCAAAGGAAUUGACGGGGGCCCGCACAAGCAGUGGAGUAUGUGGUUUAAUUCGAAGCAACGCGAAGAACCUUACCAGGGCUUGACAUACCAAGUGAUGUUAUAGAAAUAUAACAGCCCUUCGGGGACUUGGAACAGGUGGUGCAUGGUUGUCGUCAGCUCGUGUCGUGAGAUGUUGGGUUAAGUCCCGCAACGAGCGCAACCCUUGCCGUUAGUUGGCAUCAUUAAGUUGGCCACUCUAAGGGGACUGCCGGUGACAAAUCGGAGGAAGGUGGGGACGACGUCAAAUCAUCAUGCCCCUUAUGUCCUGGGCUACACACGUACUACAAUGGCUGCUACAGAGGGAAGCAAAGCCGCAAGGCGGAGCAAAUCCCAAAAAGCAGUCCCAGUUCGGAUUGUGGGCUGAAACUCGCCCACAUGAAGUCGGAAUUGCUAGUAAUGGCAGGUCAGCAUACUGCCGUGAAUACGUUCCCGGGCCUUGUACACACCGCCCGU
rnacentral:rRNA from 1 species